CCCGCCCGCCGUGCCAGAGCUCCCGCUCCGCCGGCCGGAGCCGCCGCCAGCGCGGGGUCCCGCUGAGGGUCCCGCUGCCGCCCGGGCCCGGUGGAUGCCGCCCGCUGCUGUUCCGGCUCCCUGCUCCGGCUGCCUCUUUCGGCUCCUCUGUGCUUUUCCCGCUGCAAAUCGUCCGGGUGCUUCACCGCCGCGCGGUACUGGCGGGGACCCCCCGACGCCUUCCCGCAGCCGGCUCCAUCCCGAGCACCGGGAAGCGCACGGGAGGUCCCGGCCGGACGAGGAUGCGGCACCUCGGGUCCAGCCCCUCCUGCGGAGCACC
rnacentral:lncRNA from 1 species